rnacentral:rRNA from 1 species
GGUUAAGUCCCGCAACGAGCGCAACCCACGUCUUUAGUUGCCAGCAUUUAGUUGGGCACUCUAGAGAGACCGCCGGUGAUAAACCGGAGGAAGGUGUGGAUGACGUCAAGUCAUCAUGCCCCUUACAUCCUGGGCUACACACGUACUACAAUGCUACGGACAAAGGGCAGCAAGUUCGCGAGGACAAGCAAAUCCCAUAAACCGUGGCUCAGUUCAGAUCGUAGGCUGCAACUCGCCUACGUGAAGGAGGAAUCGCUAGUAAUCGCAGGUCAGCAUACUGCGGUGAAUACGUUCCCGGGCCUU